rnacentral:snoRNA from 1 species
UAGGCCCUGAAUCAAGGCCAGUGGUUUGUUGUAGCUGUUGGUUUCAAACAGGAGCCAAAAGUGAUGUCUUCCUUAUGUUCUUUUGGCUGUUCAGUAUCCUAGUGGGAAUGGCCAAUUCUGUUGGAAGAAACAAUC